AACAUUUGUUGCAUCAAGUGUUUUUAUUGGUUUUAGCA
rnacentral:sRNA from 1 species